GUCUGCUACUCAGGUUUCCACGACAGAUGCAAGAAGAAGGCAUCCUCGCGCUUUCUGUCUGUCUGAUGGUGGCAGCCCAGAUUGAAUGGAGGAAUACAAGG
rnacentral:snoRNA from 1 species